AGUGUGUAAUAGUAUAGACCAUAGACAAUAUAGAUAUAGGUUACCACCUAGUGAUAGAAAAAACUUGAUUUUUGACAAAAAAUUUGACAGGAAUGUCGAACAUCAGGAAAAGUGAAAAACAUUUUUUGUAUUAAUUUUACUUUGUUAUUAUAAAACUCGGUUAUGGAUUUCAAAUUAAGGUCACAUUGACAUGGACAAACGGGAGCAAAUACGAACGGUUUUUAUGGUAAUUUCUAUGACGUCAUGUGUGGCUUGGUCAUAUGGUUUGUUCAAGUUGCCAAAUCUGCCUAUGUUUCGAAAAACGUCUCGUUUGAAGCAAGCAAAAGACAACAGAAACGAUGGUGGAACAACUUCGAAGGCACAUGAAAAUAGAAUGGGAGCAGUAAGCAGUACUGUCAGCUACGAACCCUAAAGUGUUUAAUCAUAAUUAACUUCGUUAAGUGUCUGUUAGGUCAUGUCGCAACAUUGUUUUAUGUAAUAGAUGGUUAAUUUAUCUCUUU